rnacentral:tRNA from 1 species
GCCUAUGUAGCUCAGCGGUAGAGCACUUCCUUGGUAAGGAAGAGGUCGCGGGUUCAAUUCCCGCCAUCGGCUCAA